ACUGGCCUCUCUUGGCCGCAUGGGAGUAGGCGCCAGGAUACCGGGGAGAAGAGCUUAUCUUUUUCAACUGUUCAAAGAAAAACCAACCCCUGAGAAGCUCCCAAAGUCUGCAGAGCAAGCGGGUUCCUAUGACUGGUGCUCAGCGCUGCGGUGUGGGAUGGAUCGCUGUUUUCAGAAAGGUGGCAGGAGACAGCUCAGCGUCUUCUCUGACAGCCCCUGGCUUAGGGCUGGGGGUCCUUCCUACCCUCCUUGCCUUCCAGGGUCCCCUCGCAGUUUGCAAACCAGCAUGAUGAGCAGAGUCCGAGAGGGCCCCUGGCCAGGCCAACAGGGAGGAAGGUGGCAGCUCCGAGGACUGAACCGAGCCGGCCAGGCCUGGAAGGAAGGGGAGAGGAAAGUGAAAGACCCAGGGUGACUGUCCUUGUGAGCCCCACAGGCCCUUCUUCACCGCUGACCACGGGGGGUGAUCCUGUAACAAGAAGGCUUGACUUCAGGUGUCCCCAGAACCUCAGGCUGAAGACCACCCAGAGGACAGCCCUACCUCUGAAGCCCCAAGCAGCAGCCACAAGAGGCCUGAGAGGCAAUCAACCAUUUCCUAUGACUACGCGGAGGAGGAGCUGAUGGCCAGCAUAGAGCGGGAGUAUUGCCGCUGAGGCCAGCCGUGCAGGGGUGUGACCAUGGCUCCAUAGACCCUGGGCUGUGUGAGAAUCACUCCCCACCAGGGCUCAGCCGAACUCCUGCAAAACCUAGCUCUUCCUUGACUUUUCCAAACUGACUUUUCAACUUCACUUGUUGGCCAGGGCAUCAGCUGUGCAGGUACCCAGCCACAGGUGGAGACCUGUCUGUAGGGUUCUCUUGGAGCUUGAGGAUUCCUCUUGGAACAUCACCAAGGUGUGCCCUCAGUCCUCCGGCUAGUCUCCAGAGGAGGCUCGUCCACUCAGUGCAUCUGGAUUUUCAUGAGCAAUGAACCCCAUGGGAUGUGGCUGAAGUACAGAUCUGUUUCUGUAGGCCUAGUGGGGCCUGAGAUUCUGCACCUCUAACUGGCUCCCAGAAGAGCCAAAGUGCAGCACCCCAGCUGCAUUUGAGUCUGGGGUUAGGGCCUGGACUUCAGGCCUUUCUCAGCCUCCGUGGUGCUGGAGGCGUCUCCACCCCAGCUCUUUCACUAGGCUGGGAUGGCAGAGCUCCUCACUUUCCUUCUCUGGGCCCCAGCUUCCCUCUCCAAGAGAUAGUCUGGAGGCUCUUUGACAGUCUGAGAUUACACAGUUCCCACUGCCACUGAGGCCUCACCCUGCUGGUGCACAGAACUGCCUUCUGUGUUGGGAGUGGGUGUCCAGCCACCUGGACAGGGUCUCAGGGUACCUGCCGUCUAGCUCCACUCUGGCAGGUAGCCUGGCCAACCCCCACAGGGCCUUACACCCUUCCUCCCUGUGCAGAAGAUAGACAAUCCCAGCCACGAGGCCAGAAGAGCCUUCCAAUGUUCCCAGUUGACAAAUGAGAAACCUGCCGGCCCAGAACCUCCUGCAGUAAGAAAUGGUGGCAGUGUCAAGGGGCUGGAUGGAACAACAGCAGCUUUUGCUGAAGCCAUAAGAGAUCUCGGCUCUUCUCACAUUGACCCACCAACACCAAGGCCUCCCUGGGUAGCCUCCAUGUCCUGAGAAGUGCUGCCAGCACUGGGGCCAGUGAGUCUCACUGACAAGCCUUUCUGUGAACUUUCACAGUUGACAAGAGUGCCUUUGAUCAGCUGCUUGCAGCUGGGAGACUUGCACUGCGAAGUCAGAGCACAGAACAGCAGAGCCGGUCACCAGCCUCUGGGGGGUUGCCUUAGAACCUCCCCAAAGCUGGGAGCUGUUCCUCUCCUAGGCCCAAAACAUUCCUCUUGAUAUAAAGAUGAAAGUCAUUACUAUUUUAAUAAUGUGAAUGCUUAUUUUAAAAGAAAUUAAACUUUUAUUUCUUACUGCCAGGUA